ACCGCUACAGAGCGCGUUCUCGGGUGGCGGAUAGAGAAACGUUCCAUGAUGUGAAGUUGCACAAAGCUGCUUCAUAUUAUGGUACAGGCAGUUAUGCCCGCGGACCAACAGGCAUAUAGUCAUGGUUUAUAUUAGUGACACCCAUAUUUUUGCUGCUGUUAGCGGCCAGUGGUUUUUACACAUCACCCAAAUUUAAGUCAGUGCAUAUACUUAGACAUUGUGAUGUGCGUGUAACAUCAGUGCAGUGCUCAUGUUGGUUACCAUUCACGAGACCAUAACAAGGACCUGCUGCCAGCCAUCAUGUCCUGGUCCUGACCUGCCUUUGGGAGGCUGAAUCAGCCGUCUAGGUUGGCGAGCGGGUUCCCGCUUCUGGUUACCAGCCACGAUGGUGCAGUGACCAGCCACCAUGGUGCAUGCAUGGAUGGGACCCAUCUUCUAAAGCUGCACAGGUUCGGAGGUGCCAGUUAGCUUGCCAGUAUCCAUUCAAAUGUUAUGACUGGCAGUGCAAGGACCAAGUCUGCAAUAGACGCUCAUUGGCGUACCAGCCAAAUGUGGUACGCGUCCAGCAGAAACGCAAGAGGUGUCUCGGUGUGCUGCAGGGAACACGCAUCGACGUUGCUGGGACAGACAGUUCAAGUUUGAGGAGAGGCGCAUGCACGGACCGAGGAUAUGAAAAGCGCGUCGCGUGUGCACUCAGGGCUCUCUCUGUGGCCUUCGUUACGGCCAGUCCUGUCUCCUGUAAAAGCGCAUGUCGACACCUUGUGUUUUUUACACCUGUAAAUAUGUAAAUAAAUCGUGUGUUCCUGUCGUCAAAAA